rnacentral:rRNA from 1 species
CUACGGGAGGCAGCAGUGAGGAAUCUUAGACAAUGGGCGCAAGCCUGAUCUAGCCAUGCCGCGUGAGUGAUGAAGGCCUUAGGGUCGUAAAGCUCUUUCGCCAGAGAUGAUAAUGACAGUAUCUGGUAAAGAAACCCCGGCUAACUCCGUGCCAGCAGCCGCGGUAAUACGGAGGGGGUUAGCGUUGUUCGGAAUUACUGGGCGUAAAGCGCACGUAGGCGGACUGGAAAGUUGGGGGUGAAAUCCCGGGGCUCAACCCCGGAACUGCCUCCAAAACUAUCAGUCUAGAGUUCGAGAGAGGUGAGUGGAAUUCCGAGUGUAGAGGUGAAAUUCGUAGAUAUUCGGAGGAACACCAGUGGCGAAGGCGGCUCACUGGCUCGAUACUGACGCUGAGGUGCGAAAGUGUGGGGAGCAAACAGGAUUAGAUACCCUGGUAGUCCACACCGUAAACGAUGAAUGCCAGUCGUCGGGUUGCAUGCAAUUCGGUGACACACCUAACGGAUUAAGCAUUCCGCCUGGGGAGUACGGUCGCAAGAUUAAAACUCAAAGGAAUUGACGG